AUGGCGGCCACUCAAGCAAUUCUAAAUGCUUUUGGGAGGAUCUCUGGGCUCUUCACCAAUUUCAGCAAAUCAUCGGCCUUCCCUAUCUGCUGUGAUGAACUGACAAUCAGUGAAGCACUUUUGGAUUUUGCAGGAACUGUUGACUCCUUCCCCUGCAAGUAUCUCGGGCUCCCUCUCAGCCUUGGCAAGCUAAGGCGCGCUGACCUUCAAUUGUUGAUUGAUAAAAUCGCUGCCAAGUUGGCAGGUUGGAAAGGGAAAUUGUUGAACAAAGCGGGAAGGCUGACGCUGAUCAACUCUGUCCUAACCUCUUUCACCACCUAUAUUUUGACCUUGUUCGCUCCCAGCAAAUGGCUGAUCAAGAGGAUUGAUAAACUCAGGAGAAGUUUCCUUUGGAAAGGCUGUGAGGAAGAAGCCAAAGGUGGAAGCUGUGCAGUAAACUGGCAGGUCGUUUGCUCACCAAAGAAGUAUGGUGGUCUUGGAAUAAAAAAUCUAUCCUUUUUCAGUAGGGCUCUCAGGCUGCGGUGGGCAUGGUUCGCGUGGCAAAGUCUGCCUCGGCCAUGGCUAGGCAUGAAGCUUCCUUGCUCGGACGUCGACAUGAAGCUCUUCAAUGCCUCGACCAUCAUCCACCUUGGCAAUGGGCAGACUGCAAGUUUCUGGCACUCAAAGUGGCUGAGCGGAGCCGCCCCCAAGGACCUUGCACCCUCCCUGUUCAAACUGGCUCGCAGGAAAUCCUACACAGUCGCCCAGGCACUUCAUGGUAGCAAGUGGAUGAAAGGACUUGAGAGAAUCAGCUCACACAAUGAUCUGCACUCCUUUCUGCUGCUAUGGGAGAAAAUUCAGAAUGUCGACUUGUCUGACGCCAGCGAUGCCAUCGAGUGGAUUUGGACGAAGGACAAGUCUUACUCUGCUAGCACGGCCUACUCCUGUCAAUUCACUGGCUCCAUCGCCAAACCUGAGCUUGACCUGAUCUGGAGGCUGAAGAUUGAGAGAAAGUUGCGUUUUUCCCUUUGGACAUUGGCUCAAAACAGACUCCCAACCACUGACAGGCUCCGUGCCCAUGGGGGUGACCAGAGUGCGACGUGUGCCCUCUGUCUUCAACAACCUGAAACAGCGCUCCACCUCUUCAACUCUUGCGUCUUUUCCAAGGUUGUUUGGUCCAAGCUAUGUUUGGCGCGGCCAGGAUGCUGCCCUACUCUGCCUGCUAAUCUUUCGUCGAUCUCUCAAUGGUGGAGGGCCUGCUCCCGGCAUACUAAAGAGCAUGCCGCGGCCGCUGCCUACUUCGCUUGGCAUAUUUGGAAUAAAAGGAACAGGAGGAUUUUCAAUGCCAAAUCAACCUCAGCGGACGGUGUGCUCUCGUUGAUCAAACAUGAUUUAGAUAUAUUGAGAGUAGCGUUUUAG
rnacentral:rRNA from 1 species